CGCCGUACAACAAACAAACAAUGUUUUUGUCCAUAUUCUUUAAAAAACAUGUUUUUGACAACAAAUUUCAGUAAAUAUGAUGCCACACUAUAAUAAUCUAAAAACGUGUCUGGAAAAAUAAUGAAAAACAGUUCAAUAUCUUGAGAAUGGGGCGACAGAGGACGAUCGACCUCGAAAUUUUCCGGUACUAAGUGGCAAGUUUUGGAGUAUUACACACAAUCUUGUAUUAAUUUUGUACUUAUCUGCCUAAUAAUUUAAAGAAUUAUAUAUCAGAAAAUCAUUUCUUAAGCGGCACCCUCAUCCAAUGAGUGGAAAUGCUUUAAAUUGAAUGAAUUCUUAACUUGUUUACUUUUUUUUCUAUUUUUCUCCGCUUCGUUAGUACCCAAUUUCCGGUGGC
rnacentral:lncRNA from 1 species